ensembl:snRNA U6 U6 spliceosomal RNA
GUGCUCGCUUCGGCAGCACAUACACUAAAAAUUGGAACCAUAUAGAGAAGAUUAGCACCGCCCCUGUGCAAGGAUGACAUGCAAAUUCGUGAAGCGUUCCAUAUUUUA